rnacentral:ribozyme from 13 species
UCGGGUCGGCAUGGCAUCUCCACCUCCUCGCGGUCCGACCUGGGCAUCCGUAGGAGGACAGACGUCCUACUCGGAUGGCUAAGGGAGAGCCAGU